rnacentral:lncRNA from 1 species
ACCGCUCAAAACUCAAUAAAUUCUAUCCAAUACUAGGAAUAACAAACUUCACUUCAACUAAUCUGAAUUCAUAGAAUUCUUGUAAUCACAAACUUCUUCUGUCAAAAUACACACACACAACUCUCAAUAAACAAUAAUCAUAAUCUUCCAUCCAUAAUCAAUCUUUCAAUAACUUCUCAUAUAAUUCAAUCACUCAGUACUCCAAUUACAUAAUCAAUAACUCAUAAAUUAAUCUCUAAUUUAUUCCACAGACUCACUUCUCAGUAUUCAAAAACUAUCUAUUAUUCUUCAACAACAAAGAAAACAAAAGAAACAAAGAAGAAGCACCAAGCUU